CCUACGGGUGGCAGCAGUGAGGAAUAUUGGUCAAUGGACGCAAGUCUGAACCAGCCAUGCCGCGUGCAGGAAGACGGCUCUAUGAGUUGUAAACUGCUUUUGUACGAGGGUAAACGCAGAUACGCGUAUCUGUCUGAAAGUAUCGUACGAAUAAGGAUCGGCUAACUCCGUGCCAGCAGCCGCGGUAAUACGGAGGAUUCAAGCGUUACCCGGAUUUAUUGGGUUUAAAGGGUGCGUAGGCGGUCGGUUAAGUUAGAGGUGAAAUCCCGAGGCUCAACUUCGGAAUUGCCUCUGAUACUGGUAGGCUAGAGAGUAGUUGCGGUAGGCGGAAUGUAUGGUGUAGCGGUGAAAUGCUUAGAGAUCAUACAGAACACCGAUUGCGAAGGCAGCUCCCCAAGCUACGUCUGACGUUGAGGCACGAAAGCGUGGGGAGCAAACAGGAUUAGAUACCCCAGUAGUC
rnacentral:rRNA from 1 species